UCGCAAACCUGGGCACCAUAAAAAGGACUGCCUGAAACGUAAGGCAUGGUUCGAAAGUAAAGGGAUUCCUUUCAACCCAGACCAUAAAUCCAAAUGAAAAGUUUGUCCUCAUGGGAAAUCGAGUCAAAGCUCCAGUUGAAGCCAUUGGAACUUAUCGUUUGAUUUUAGAUACUGAACAUCAUUUAGAUUUAUUUCAAACACUUUAUGUACCUUCCAUUUCUCGCAA